AAUCAUGGGAUGUAGAGACUGCAACAGA
rnacentral:piRNA from 2 species